rnacentral:rRNA from 1 species
CCUACGGGAGGCAGCAGUGGGGAAUAUUGCGCAAUGGGCGAUAGCCUGACGCAGCGACGCCGCGUGAGGGAUGAAGGUCUUCGGAUCGUAAACCUCUGUCAGCAGGGAAGAACGGUCACUGUGCUAAUCAGCAGUGAAUUGACGGUACCUGCAAAGGAAGCACCGGCUAACUCCGUGCCAGCAGCCGCGGUAAUACGGAGGGUGCGAGCGUUAAGCGGAAUUACUGGGCGUAAAGCGCUCGUAGGCGGUAUGUCAAGUCAAGGGUGAAAUCCCCGCGCUCAACGUGGGAACUGCCUUUGAAACUGGCAAACUGGAGUGUGUGAGAGGAUAGUGGAAUUCCAGGUGUAGGAGUGAAAGCCGUAGAUAUCUGGAGGAACAUCAGUGGCGAAGGCGACUAUCUGGCACAUAACUGACGCUGAGGAGCGAAAGCGUGGGUAGCAAACAGGAUUAGAUACCCUGGUAGUC